UUUUAGUUGAUUAGGAGAUUUAUCUAUCUGGCUUCUUAUAGAGACUAUCGGCUUCAAGCCGAAGGAAGUUUUAGGCAAUAACAGGUCUGUGAUGCCCUUAUAUGUUCUGGGCCGCACGCGCGCUACACUGAUGAAAUCAUCGAGUUUAUAACCUUGGGCGGAAGGUCUGGGUAAACUUUUGAAAUUUCAUCGUGCUGGGGAUAGAGCAUUGUAAUUAUUGCUCUUCAACGAGGAAUUCCUAGUAAGCGCAAGUCAUCAUCUUGCGUUGAUUACGUCCCUGCCCUUUGUACACACCGCCCGUCGCUACUACCGAUUGAAUGGCUC
rnacentral:rRNA from 1 species